rnacentral:rRNA from 1 species
UACGAAGGGGGCUAGCGUUGUUCGGAAUUACUGGGCGUAAAGCGCGCGCAGGCGGCUUUCCAAGUCGAGUGGUGAAAGCCCGGAGCUCAACUCCGGAAUUGCCAUUGAAACUGUAAAGCUUGAGGACGAGAGAGGUGAGUGGAAUUCCCAGUGUAGAGGUGAAAAUUCGUAGAUAUUGGGAAGAACACCGGUGGCGAAGGCGGCUCACUGGCUCGUUUCUGACGCUCAGGCGCGACAGCGUGGGGACUCGAAACAAGG